CCAAGCGCUCACCAUUCUGCAGAAUAAGGACCAGAACUUUACAGAGGUAAACUGUGUCUGUUCUUUUACUAUUACAGCAGUUCAUCGUGGCCCUGUUGUUCGCCUCCUUCACCAAAGUUCUGUCAGGGACCUACAUGAAGAGUGCCAUCACUCAGAGAAACACUUUGACCUGUCCAGCUCUCUCAUCGGACUCAUAGACGGCAGCUUUGAGAUGGGUAACCUGCUGUUCCUGGCUGUGGUCUGCCAUUUGGGGGGCGAAGCUGCACCGGCCCAGGCUCAUUGAUAUGGGCUGUUUUUUUGUUUUUUUUUACCUUUAUUUUUCUAGGCAAGUCAGUUAAGAACA